rnacentral:rRNA from 1 species
CCUACGGGGGGCAGCAGUGAGGGAUAUUGGUCAAUGGACGAGAGUCUGAACCAGCCAAGUAGCGUGAAGGAUGACUGACCUAUGGUUUGUAAGCUUCUUUUAUAUGGGAAUAAAACAGGGUAUGCAUACCCUAUUGUGUGUCCCCUAUGAAUAAGGAUCGGCUAACUCCGUUCCAGCAGCCGCGGUAGUACGGAGGAUCCGAGCGUUAUCCGGAUUUAUUGGGUUUAAAGGGAGCGUAGGUGGAUUGUUAAGUCAGUUGUGAAAGUUUGCGGCUCAACCGUAAAAUUGCAGUUGAAACUGGCAGUCUUGAGUACAGUAGAGGUGGGCGGAAUUCGUGGUGUAGCGGUGAAAUGCUUAGAUAUCACGAAGAACUCCGAUUGCGAAGGCAGCUCACUGGACUGCAACUGACACUGAUGCUCGAAAGUGUGGGUAUCAAACAGGAUUAGAUACCCGAGUAGUC